CAUAGGGAACCCUUUUUCUGACGGACUGCUAGACUAAGAGAGCGUUCCUUAUUAUGUUUUUCCGUAUUCGUUUAAAUUUUCCGGAGAAGAUGUAGUUAAGUCCUUGAAAAUAUACCAUUAUUCAAGAAAUUACAUUUUUGAAAAAUUUGUUGAAAGGUAAAAAAAAAAAAAAAAAAAAAAAACAAAAACAUUAUCCCUCCGAAAAAGACUUCCCUUUGUAUGUGGCAUUUUUGACAGAUAGUUAUUUCCGGAUAUGCCUGACGAUGCGUUCAAAUAGUGGAUUGUGCUCUUGAUGUGUGGACAACUUCUACUUGGUUUAGGGACAUUCUUUAGCUCAUGCUAGAUGCAGUGUGACUAACUGCUUAUGUGAUCAUAUUCAAUGUUUGCGAUUUUCACGAGUGCAACGAAUAAGCCAGUCCUCUAAACAUGAAACAAUUUAGGAGUUUAAUUCAGUUGUUUCCCUCUCCCAAAUUACUGCGUCUACCUGUUAAGUGUUUUCAAGGUAGGUUGUUCUGUUAUUCAAGCAGCAGUGGAGUUAGUGCCAGUGGAAAGCGGCGAGCUUCGGAUCAUUUCAAGACUCAAAUAUCUUCGGGUCCAACUUUUAAUGACUUCAUCCAAGGACUCCCUGCUAAUAACUCGUGUACUUCAGGCAUUGAGGUGGAAUACAAACACGAUUAUUUUUCAACUGAAUUGGACCCGCGACAUUUUCGAAAGGUCUAUUUUGAAACGUAUGGGUGUCAAAUGAAUGUCAAUGAUACGGAUAUUGCCUGGUCCAUAUUGCAGAGGAGUGGAUAUCAGCGCACGACACAUUUACGCGAGGCAGAUGUGGUACUUCUUGUAACAUGCUCCAUCAGAGAAAAAGCUGAACAAACAAUCUGGAAUAGACUUCAGGAACUGACAGCCAUGAAGAAUAAGCGCCUUAAGAGUCGGACACCACUGAAAAUUGGCAUUUUAGGUUGCAUGGCAGAGAGACUGAAAAUGGAGCUUUUGGAACGAGAGAAACUUGUCGACAUCCUCGCUGGGCCAGACUCCUACCGGGAUCUCCCACGUCUACUGACUGUGUCUGAGGGAGGUCAACAGGCAAGCAAUGUGCUGCUUUCAUUCGAGGAGACCUACGCUGACAUCAUGCCUGUCCACCACACUCCUCAGGGACACAGUGCUUUUGUGUCCAUUAUGCGGGGUUGUGACAACAUGUGCAGUUACUGCAUUGUUCCGUUCACUCGAGGCCGGGAAAGGAGUCGACCUGCCAGCUCUAUUCUUGAGGAAAUCCGUAUCCUCUCCGAUCAGGCAAUGAAAGAGGUGACAUUGCUUGGCCAGAAUGUGAACAGCUACAGGGACACAUCUGAAGAACAGUUCUGUGGUGCUGUUCCAACAAAGCUGAGCCGUGGCUUCAAGACUGUGUACCGGCCUAAGCUGGGAGGUCUACGUUUCUCUGGCUUGUUGGACAGAGUGUCACAGGUUGAUCCUGAUAUGAGGAUCAGAUUCACGUCACCCCAUCCUAAAGACUUUCCUGAUGAGGUAUUGCAUCUAAUUGCGGAGAGGGAAAACCUUUGUAAGCAGAUCCAUCUUCCAGCUCAAAGUGGAAGUAGUCAGGUCUUGAAAGCUAUGCGCCGUGGGUAUACAAGAGAGACAUACCUUGAAUUGGUACAGAACAUCAGGAAUAUUAUUCAAGGGGUAAGUCUGAGCAGUGACUUCAUCUCAGGCUUUGCUGGCGAGACAGAAGAAGAUCACCAACAGACCUUGUCUCUCAUGAGAGAAGUGGGCUACAAUAUGGGGUUCCUUUUUGCCUAUAGCAAGAGAAAGAAAACUCAUGCAUUCCAUAACCUUCAAGAUGACGUGCCAGUGGAUGUGAAGCAGCGUAGACUGGAAGAGUGUAUCACUGUGUUCAGACAGGAAGCCUCAAGGGUCAAUGCUACUCUUAUUGGCAGCACACAACUUGUCCUGGUGGAAGGGGAGAGUAAGAGAUCAGCCAAGGAGCUGUGUGGGAGAACAGAUGGCAAUAUGAAAGUGAUUUUCCCCAAAGAGGAUGUUGCUGUUCAUUCUGCAGAGUCCAACACUGCUGUAAUCAACACUGGAGACUACGUGCUAGUGAAGAUCUUGACGGCCAGUUCGCAGAGUUUGAGAGGUCAAGCCUUGUGUCAUAAACAUCCAAUGAUGCAGUCAGAACCUCUAUCCAGCAAUUAAUAUGAUGGACAUUUGCCUACCCAUCCAUGAUCGACAUUAUUGACAGCUCAGGAAACAAGUGAUGAAUAAAGCAUUAUUCAUCAUGGUUGCUGUUUGUUACGUAUUGACCCGCCCGAGGGAAAUAAAACUGAUUUGUGGACAUGUGGCCAGAACAGGAUUCAGAUGGUGAGAAAGACACAGCCCGUGUUCUCCUCGCGAGCAAAUGUUCCUCUUGUCAACGAGGGGGUUCCACACCGGCGAAAUGUAAGUGGCAUCACAAUGGUACGAUGGAGUUGACAUCACAACUGUGCAUUGGGAACAUUCUGCUCUCUACAGGAGAAGAUAUCGUGUGUUUGCUUUGUUUGUGACUUUCUGUGCUGCUAUAAAAAUGUUAUUUUAUUGUUGUUGUUUAACUAUAUAGUUGUACUGUUGUAAUUUUUGUCUCGAGUAUGUAUCCUGUCCUGCUGAUUAAACAUUCUGGUUACCACACAAUGCCUCCAGAAGAAGUCCCCAAGUGAUGAAUGGUAACUAUACAGUAAUUAGUAUUAUAUUUAUAAGGUUCUAUAAUCAAAGAUUUAACUAAAUAGCUAUUUUGGGUCAAAUAUCCAGCAUACAAAUACUGUUUACAUAUUUUAAACGUCCUGGUACCCACAUAAACAUACCCUGCUACUUUGCGGUUUUUCACUUUUCGCGGUUAGGUCUGGUCCCAAUUAACUGCGAAAAACAAGGGAUUAAUGUAUUGUUUUAUGUUUUGUCCUGAUUAGGUAAGUGCACUCGCUACUGUUAAAUAAGUU